rnacentral:lncRNA from 1 species
AGCACCAGAAAAAGGCAGUCUCCCUAUAGAUAGAAAACAGCUGAAACAGAUGACCAGCAGCUUCCUGGUAAGAUCUCAGGAGCUGGGCGAGUCGGCUCAACCCUGCGUAUUAAACUUCUGAAGAGGCAAGAAUUGAGGUUGCUGCAGACCUGUAGGUCUUCACCACUGCUAACACCCAGACUGUCACUGUCAAUGUGAAGAAAGUCUCUGCAUCACAUACUAAGAAAAUUGAAUUUGCAGGAACCCAGCUCCUACAUCAAAUAUAUGUGCCCUUAUCUUGUUUUUAUUCCUAUAGCUAUUAAUUGAAACCACUUGAAAAAGAGUUGACUAUAUAGAUACACAGCUGAUUAGUGAGAAAUAGAAUGCAAUGCAACAUGACUCCUGACUCCAAAGCUCCCAGCCCUUCUCUCCACCAUGCUUGCUGCAUUUUAAGUGUCAGGAAGGGAAGGACACCUUAGAAGGAUGAAAGCACAG